GCGUUCCCCAUGAAGAGCAGAAGUUUCUGCAAAGAAUGAAAGGAUUUGUAGCACUAAAAAUCGCUUGCAGUAGCUCUGCUACUAAAUUUAUUUAAAACUGGCUGUCCCUGUACAGCUAUGAUGAGCUGUACCUUCAUCUUGGCUGAGCUUUCAAUGGAUGAAGCUGAUUGGUUGGUUCUUGUCACAUGACCCGCGUCGCUUCCAAAAUGAACGCACCUGCCGCGCGUCUACAUUUGAAAUAACGACCUCGAGCGCGCAAAAGACUUGAUAUGUGAACGGCCCCGUUCAAAUGAUUCAAAGCGCCAAACGCGAGCAGAAUCAGCGCUGGAACGUGUUACUCGACCCGGUGACUUUUUAUGAAUGGUUAAACAUGGCAUCCUGACAACAUCCCAUACAUCACUAGCCUUUGUUAAGUGCUAGUAGAGGUUCACAUUGUGCUAUCUGCUCAUUCAUCUGCCAUAAUUCAAUACCACAGUGACUGUGUCCGUACAAUUCCCUGAAAUGUCUUCCUGCUCUGAGACAUGCUCUCUGGACCAGACAAACGGUAUUUCUGGAAAACCCCAGGAGGGGUAAGGCCCACGCAUCAGGGACACUGCUGGAAUGAGAGAGGGGUGUGUGUGUGUGAGAGAGAGUUUGAUGCUGCUGUUCCUGCAGUAGUCCUGUAGUCACCCUCGUUGAGCUGGUGAGCCGGUCGGCUGCUGCUGUUGCUGAUACUGCUGCAGGAGAGGAUUCCUAUCUGAUGCUGGGAUAGUCACAAAUACUACAGCAGAGAGAGACGAAGAAAGGUGGAGGUUUCCGCUAACCUUCCUGGGUUCCCCGCUUUGUUUUUAAAAGCACACAGGAGGAAAAAGACUCUUCAGGUGUGAAGAGGAACUCUGAGAGAGGAGGCGCACUUGGCUGGACUGCGCUAGGGGGCGAAGGUAGGGGAUCUUUACUUUUUUUGGGGCAGGGGAGAGAAGACAUGGGACACUAUAUAACGGAGUAGUUGUUUGAGUUUAUGUAUGGCGGUAAGAUUAAAUCUAAGAGGUUGUAUUAAGUCUGAGUUGUGUGGGUACACUGCAGGCACUAUGUCAGGGCUUUUAGCUCGGAGUGGGUGUAUAGGCUUCAGAAUGUGUGUGUGUGUGUGUGAGUGAGUUAGGUUCUGCCUACAUUUAAGUGCACUAAAUGUACUCAUAGUUAGAAAAAAACAGAAAUUAAUGAUAUUGUUGGUAUUGGAGGAAAACGUCUAAUUAGUUAAUUAAGCAUAUACUUAUACUACUAGUACUACUGCUAGUUAUUUUAAUAAUUAGAUUUUAUUAAAAAUAAUAAUUCUAAAAG
ensembl:lncRNA